GUUUGUUCAUUAUUUCACAUUUAAAAACAAUAAAUGGGAAGAAAAUUUCACAACAGGAUUAUUGUUUCAAAAUGUUUUCUUUGAAAAAUUUCAAAAUCAAUCUUUUUAAGCAUCUUUUUCUUCCAAAUUAAUCACCAGGUUAAAGCCAAAUAGAUACACAUUUUAAGAAGUCUUCUGAGUUUCAUUGCUCAUUUUUCUACUCAUAUUAACAAUUAUCUUACUUUUUUUUUCUGUUACCCUUGAUAGAUGAAGCACAUUCUUCAAAAAGAUCUAUACUCUGGCCCCAUCAAUAUCCACUUUUAUACUGAUGCUUUUAAGAAACUGCCAGUCAGGAAUAACAAGAUUCUCUGAUCCAGGCUCAGCUUCGAGGAAAGAGAGGAAAAAGAAGCAGCACUGGUCACACCUGAAGGUAUCUUCACACAACUGAAUUAUGCAUACUUUUCUCAUUAUUUUUAAGCAAUGAACUUGAGUUCUUUGUUUAUCAUCUCCCUCUCAGCUUGAAUUUGCUGCCUCAUAUGGUUCUGCUCA
rnacentral:lncRNA from 1 species